AACGAACGCUGGCGGCAGGCCUAACACAUGCAAGUCGAGCGAAGCCUUCGGGCUUAGCGGCGGACGGGUGAGUAACGCGUGGGAACGUGCCCUUUGGUACGGAAUAGCCCCGGGAAACUGGGAGUAAUACCGUAUGUGGUCGAGAGACGAAAGAUUUAUCGGCAAAGGAUCGGCCCGCGUUGGAUGAGGUAGUUGGUGGGGUAAUGGCCUACCAAGCCGAUGAUCCAUAGCUGGUUUGAGAGGAUGAUCAGCCACACUGGGACUGAGACAUGGCCCAGACUCCUACGGGAGGCAGCAGUGGGGAAUCUUAGACAAUGGGGGAAACCCUGAUCUAGCCAUGCCGCGUGAACGAUGAAGGCCUUAGGGUUGUAAAGAUCUUUCAGUGGGGAAGAUAAUGACUGUACCCACAGAAGAAGCCCCGGCUAACUCCGUGCCAGCAGCCGCGGUAAAAC
rnacentral:rRNA from 1 species